UAAAAAGGAGAGGAUUUUUAUUCUGGAAGAACAAAUCAUUGGCCAAAAAGGAGAUUAAAUGUUGUGCAGGCUUUUCAAAUUCAAAUAUCAACAAAGUUUUUCUAAAUAAAUACAACAGGAGAAAAGAAAGACAGGCAGUUCUUGAAAGGAAUCCAGUUUGACGAGUGAAGAACUCUCCAAACCUGGAGAUGGUAAAAAUUGUGAGUCAAGACACGUCCCAGCUUUGCCCAUAUACAGUAGCAUUCACUCAAUUUCCGUAAAAUAUCAAGUAACUGAAACAACAUUCACAACACAUACAUCCAAACUCCAUAAAGCACAGCAGGAUUUCUGCACUCUAAAUCUAGUAGAUAUGAACUCUAAAAGUAGAUGUGGCAUUCCUCUGCUGUAUCAAUGCUCUGAGUAGUCCAGGGCUGCUACCAGAAAAUGUUCAGAAAAUAUGUACAAAUAGGAAAUGCCAUAUCUGUUUUGACUCUUGGCAUUAGAGCUGCAAAAUCCAGAUAUGUGGACGCAGAGCAUGAGGUUGUGUUACAGUGUCUUUGCAGCUGUACAAAAACCCUGGUUUUCUCUAAAGAACCACCCAAGGGGAUAACUUUACUUUUUUGUCAAACAUUUCUGUGUUUUUAUUACUAAAGCGGAAGUGCUGCCGGACUUAUUUAGGGAGUGAUAGUGGAUGACAGAUUAAAUAUCAGCUCACAGUGAGAGACUGUAGCACAAAGAGGCAAAUACCAUACUGGGAUGUGGAGCAGAAUUACUUGCAGGACUACAGAGGUAAUAAUUCCUCCGCACAGAGUCCUGGUGAGGCCCCUCUUGGAAAACUGUGAUCAGUUUUGGACAACUCAAUAUAAAGAGGAUGGCAAUAAAACAGAGCGAAUACAAAGAACAGCGAUAAAGAUAAGCAUGUUGGAAGAUGUGGCACAAUGCAAAACAAACAGCUGUGGUUCGGUUCAAAAGGAGCAUGGAAGGC
ensembl:lncRNA